CAUGUCGUGGGUUGACCAUGCGCUGCACGGAAAUUUAUUCCCGCAUCAGCGUGCUGAUUCUGCGAAUCGGCAAAGUGGAUAGGGUGGUUUCAUCAGACUUACAACUUCAGAUGUGGACUUAAAUCUCCAUCAGCACGAUUCUGUUUCAGCAUCCUUGGCGUCUUUGUUUGAAAUUCCUAGGGGUGCCUGAAUGAUCUGAAGAUCUUCACAUCGUUCAUACCUGCAUCCUGUUUAAGGUAAGGGCGAUUAGGUGCCUGCAGAAACCAACACUAGAUCUAGAAGUUUCUCUGCAGUGAGCUACGUACUUGUUUCUUGUUUGGAGCCUUGGAGGUACCCCUGCACUAGUGCACUACACAAACCUCCACGCUCGCACCA
rnacentral:lncRNA from 1 species